GAUGAACGCUGGCGGCGUGCCUAAUACAUGCAAGUCGAGCGAACAGACGAGGAGCUUGCUCCUCUGACGUUAGCGGCGGACGGGUGAGUAACACGUGGAUAACCUACCUAUAAGACUGGGAUAACUUCGGGAAACCGGAGCUAAUACCGGAUAAUAUAUUGAACCGCAUGGUUCAAUAGUAAAAGACGGUUUUGCUGUCACUUAUAGAUGGAUCCGCGCCGCAGUAGCUAGUUGGUAAGGUAACGGCUUACCAAGGCAACGAUGCGUAGCCGACCUGAGAGGGUGAUCGGCCACACUGGAACUGAGACACGGUCCAGACUCCUACGGGAGGCAGCAGUAGGGAAUCUUCCGCAAAGGGCGAAAGCCUGACGGAGCAACGCCGCGUGAGUGAUGAAGGUCUUCGGAUCGUAAAACUCUGUUAUUAGGGAAGAACAAAUGUGUAAGUAACUAUGCACGUCUUGACGGUACCUAAUCAGAAAGCCACGGCUAACUACGUG
rnacentral:rRNA from 1 species